GACGAACGCUGGCGGCGUGCUUAACACAUGCAAGUCGAACGAAGUGGCGAACGGGUGAGUAAUACGUGGGUAACCUGCCCUCCUUUUUGGGAUAAGCCUUGGAAACGGGGUCUAAUACCGAAUAAAGGGGGGUGGGCUCGCGGCCUAUCAGCUUGUUGGUGGGGUGAUGGCCUACCAAGGCGGUGACGGGUAGCCGGCCUGAGAGGGUGCCGGGCACCAUGGGGCCGGGGAACCGGCCCGGAGUCCAACGGGGGGAACAGGGGGGGAAUAUGGAACAAUGGGGGAAGGCCUGAGCAGGGGAGGCGGGGGGGGGGAUGAGGGCUUUGGGGUGGUAAACUCUUUCGGUAAUGGACGGGUAGGUGGAGAAGAAGCGCCGGCUAACUACGUGCCAGCAGCCGCGGUAAUUC
rnacentral:rRNA from 1 species